rnacentral:rRNA from 1 species
GGGGAAUAUUGGACAAUGGGCGCAAGCCUGAUCCAGCCAUGCCGCGUGUGUGAAGAAGGCCCUCGGGUUGUAAAGCACUUUCAGUGGGGAAGAAAGCCUGGUGGUUAAUACCCGUCGGGAAGGACAUCACCCACAGAAGAAGCACCGGCUAACUCCGUGCCAGCAGCCGCGGUAAUACGGAGGGUGCGAGCGUUAAUCGGAAUUACUGGGCGUAAAGCGCGCGUAGGUGGCUUGAUAAGCCGGUUGUGAAAGCCCCGGGCUCAACCUGGGAACGGCAUCCGGAACUGUCAGGCUAGAGUGCAGGAGAGGAAGGUAGAAUUCCCGGUGUAGCGGUGAAAUGCGUAGAGAUCGGGAGGAAUACCAGUGGCGAAGGCGGCCACCUGGACAGGUACUGACGCUGAGGUGCGAAAGUGUGGGGAGCAAAC